rnacentral:rRNA from 1 species
GAUCGUAGUCCGGAUUGGAGUCUGCAACUCGACUCCAUGAAGUCGGAAUCGCUAGUAAUCGCGGAUCAGAAUGCCGCGGUGAAUACGUUCCCGGGCCUUGUACACACCGCCCGUCACACCAUGGGAGUUUGUUGCACCAGAAGUAGGUAGUCUAACCUUAGGGGGGACGCUUACCACGGUGUGGCAGAUGACUGGGGUGAAGUCGUAACAAGGUAGCCGUAGGGGAACCUGCGGCUGGAUCACCUCCUUAA